rnacentral:rRNA from 1 species
GACGUAGGGGGCAAGCGUUGUUCGGAAUUACUGGGCGUAAAGGGUUCGUAGGCGGUGUGGCAAGUCGGGAGUGAAAUCUCUGGGCUCAACUCAGAGACUGCUUCCGAAACUGCUGUGCUGGAGUGCGGGAGAGGCGCGUGGAAUUGCAGGUGUAGCGGUGAAAUGCGUAGAUAUCUGCAGGAACACCCGUGGCGAAAGCGGCGCGCUGGACCACUACUGACGCUGAGGAACGAAAGCUAGGGGAGCAAACAGG